UACGAGGGGGGCAAGCGUUGUUCGGAUUUAUUGGGCGUAAAGGGUGCGUAGGCGGUUUGGCAAGUCUUGUGUGAAAGCCCAGAGCUCAACUCUGGAACUGCCUUUGAAACUGGUGAUCUUGAGUACGGGAGAGGUGAGUGGAAUUCCCAGUGUAGAGGUGAAAUUCGUAGAUAUUGGGAAGAACACCGGUGGCGAAGGCGGCUCACUGGCCCGUAACUGACGCUCAGGCGCGAUAGCGUGGGGAUCAAACAGG
rnacentral:rRNA from 1 species